ensembl:snoRNA
UUUACAAGGGAAAAGCAACCCCAUUAAAAAGUGGGCAAAGUAAGGUCUUUGGGGAACAGGGAUGCUUAUUUCCUCUGCCUUCCUUGUCUGCCUACACGG